GGUCUUGCCAUAUCCAAACCUGAUGUGGUAGCCAUCCUAGAGCGAGGAAAAGAGCCAUGGAUAGAGGAAAGGGCUACAACAGGAGGGCUAUCUUCAGCGUUGGAAUCUGGAUAUGGCACCAAGAUAAUGUCCUUCAAGCAACACACUUAUGAGGAGGACUUGCCACAGAUAACAGAAAAUCUUCCAAUCUGCAGUCUUGAAAGCUCAAGUCUCCAAGAUGACUGGGAAGGCAAAGUCCUAUAUGAUAGACAACUAGAAAAUCCAGCCAGAAAUGCUGGCCCAGUGUUAACUCAUCACAAAGAAAUGCCCGCAUUAAACCAGUA